rnacentral:rRNA from 1 species
AAUAGAUACCCGGGUAGUCCACGCCGUAAACGAUGAUAACUAGCUACCCGGGCACUUGGUGCUUGGGUGGCGCAGCUAACGCAUUAAGUUAUCCGCCUGGGGAGUACGGUCGCAAGAUUAAAACUCAAAGGAAUUGACGGGGGCCUGCACAAGCGGUGGAGCAUGUGGUUUAAUUCGAAGCAACGCGCAGAACCUUACCAGCCUUUGACAUCCCGCGCUAACCUGAGAGAUCAGGGGUUCCCUUCGGGGACGCGGUGACAGGUGCUGCAUAGCUGUCGUCAGCUCGUGUCGUGAGAUGUUGGGUUAAGUCCCGCAACGAGCGCAACCCUCGUCCUUAGUUGCCAUCAUUCAGUUGGGCACUCUAAGGAAACCGCCGGUGAUAAGCCGGAGGAAGGUGGGGAUGACGUCAAGUCCUCAUGGCCCUUACAGGCUGGGCUACACACGUGCUACAAUGGCGGUGACAGUGGGCAGCAAGCACGCGAGUGUGAGCUAAUCUCCAAAAGCCGUCUCAGUUCGGAUUGUUCU